rnacentral:rRNA from 1 species
UACGUAGGUGGCAAGCGUUGUCCGGAAUUACUGGGCGUAAAGCGUGCGCAGGCGGUUUUGUAAGCCCGGUGUGAAAUCCCCGGGCUCAACCUGGGAAUGGCAUUUGGGACUGCAAGGCUGGAGUGCGGCAGAGGAGACUGGAAUUCCUGGUGUAGCAGUGAAAUGCGUAGAUAUCAGGAGGAAUACCGAUGGCGAAGGCAGGUCUCUGGGCUGACACUGACGCUCAUGCACGAAAGCGUGGGGAGCAAACAGG